UAUGGCGUCGAAAUGUAUGAAGAAGGACAAUAGUCAAAACCAACACUUAAAUUUUAUUUACUAGACAAAGUGUAUAUUUACAAAUAUAUAGGUAUGUUACGUAAAGGCAGAAAAUCCUAUUAAUUAAACUCGAUGCAGUCUGUUUUAACUGUAACUCAUAAAUGUAUUAAAUGUUGAUAAAUCAUUUCGGGACCAAUGCAGUAGUUCUUGAAGCCGCAAGAAGGCGCGUCGAUCGAUUGUCACUAGUUCGUGUACGGAGACAAAAGUCAGCAUAGACCAGAAAGGUUAACGUGACUCGUAAUAGCUUUGCAAAUUUAAACGGAAUAUCGACAGCCUAUGUACGUACGUCUAGUUUACUCUUUAUUCCUCUAUCCAACGGGGAGCAACGUACUUCGCUUAGCAACACGUACAUGACAAGACCCACUCACUGAGUUGAGAGUUCGAGACUAUAGAAUAAGAUUCUACAAAGUGUUCCUAUAGGACUUGGCGGAGCAGCUGUAGAUUAAAAGAGUACAGAUUUUUCUUCUGGUUAUAAUGGUCAGUACUGCGCCCAGUCAUUUAGAUCUUGUGACUCACAGUCAGCAAGGUACAUUGCACUUCAGCCUACAGACUGGUAGACCUACUUAGCAGAAGCCCAAGGUUUACAGUUACUGUCUGAAAAAAAAUGAGAACCAACAGAAAUCUAGAAUUGUAUAAUUUUGAAGUAAAUCAAUGAAGAGCAACGCCAUGCAAUGGAUUUGAUCUUUUAUAAGAAUAUUUAAGCUGACUUUUUCUACAAUGAUUGCAUUUAAAAACAGAACAGAUAAGAACGAGCUUCUCAGUAUACGACGGGGAACCUUACCUUUCACGAAUUGAUGUACAGCACUUAGAUUAUGAUGAAUUUAUCGCAUCGUCGUACCUCCUCUCGUGAAUUCUUUUGGAACUGAUCCACGCAUGAGUUACUGCCUAUAAGGGAACGUGGCCCAAGAAGAAACCUGUUUUCGUACAGUCAUUGGCUAAGAAAAUGGACUCUUUUAAAGACAGUAGAUCCUCCACGCCAACCUGCUAGGACGAGAUACCACGCGAAGCGUAUAUUUUUAUUUAGAAUCGAUACAAGAACAAUGGUAUAGAAUUAGAAAUGAAAAACUAAAGCGAAUAUACCUGGAAAGAGAUAAUAUCCUGCAUAUUGAUACAAUACCAGAUCAAUAAUUCAACACAUACAAAGAGUCCGUACGUUCACUUGCAUUUAUAAUUUUUAUUUUCAAAAAUAGAUACGCCUACCAGUAAUACCUCUGUCUCCUACUGCUUUAACAUACUACGAGUUUUGCCGAUGACUAUAAAUAUUACAAUCCUUUAUAUUUAGCAGGACCGAGUCUCGUGGACGACUAUCGAUUCGAGAUUUGAAGAUCUAAAUAUAUUCUUAGAACGACGCGGGAAUUCGACCCCAGGUUACUAUCCACGUUGGUUGCUAAGCAGGAAUAUCGUGCGGUACAGUCAACCACAGAAGGGCAGAUUCAAAAGUGAACUUGAAUAACACGUUAUUGAACUUUUUUACUUUUCCUCGCUUUCAAAAUGUCCGCAUACUCUGUGCACUUGACCAACGCAUUAAUUAUAUAUAAUAAUUUUAUAAAUUUCUUAUCCGCUCUUAAUGAACCUUGUAAACUUAAUUAGUUUUAUCAACAAAUAAAUCAAACGAUUCAACCGGUGAAUAGACGUGGAUUGGUGGGAAUUAAAAGGAAAAAAUCGUCACGACCGACGGCCAUGUACAGCAUUGCAUAAAGCUUGGGCCCAUUAAUGCAAUAGGAAAUAGGGUUUUGCUUGCGAAAAGAAAAUAAAUUUCCUGCACCAGUUUGCAAAUGCUGGAUUGCUGUCGAUUCCUCCGCAUUCGAUCGGAUCGAUUGAAUCGAUUUGAUUUGCCGGUUGAGCGACGCCACAGAAUUUAUUGUUUACGUGGAUCCUUAUACUCCCUUGUUGUAUUAUCUGUAACAAUGUUCAGAAUGUUUUACCAAUAAAAUUUUUCAUACCUACUCGCGCCAUUUGCCACCCUCGAAACUCACUUACUUGUUUACUUGUUGUGUCUGCGCUUGGCUUUAGUCAAAAUACUUGUUAAAACCCACGGCUGACCUCAGCGUUAACCUCGCCGGUUGCCAGAGAUCAGUCGAGCGGACCUUAGAAAUCACAUGAACCUUCGAGGAUAGUCUAAGAUAGUUACCAACUGUAUUACCUAUUACAUUUUAUUAUUUAUACGAUUAUUUAUUAUAACUAUAAUUAAAUGCCCAAUUAAAUUGUUACAUUGACAAGUCAUAUGUACACCAGAUACUCUUUUAUUUUUUUUAUGAAUAACAUGGAAUUUUUGUAAAAACAUUUUAACAAUUAGCGAAUCAGUCGGAAAUCAGCGAAUCGUAUCAGAACAGUUAUUGACAUCCUUGAAGAAUCGAGGUCGAGGAUUAAAAUCUCAAUUAUUUUAUUUUCAGAGAAUUCGGAAUGUUCAUUAAAAAGAGUACUUGUUUCUGCUGUGUCUAGGAGAAAUACAAAAAAAACACUUGAAUUUGUUUUGUAUAGAGUUCAUUGUACUCACGUAUCUGCUUCUGUUCAAAUUUCUCUAAUUAUACAACUAUACUGUAUGGUUGACUAUGCCAGGUCGUUAGGACUACUCGACUGUACACAAAAAAAGCUCAUUCUAUACUUAGAUUUACGUUGGUACGUUGACACGUCUGAUUGCGUAAAACAGGAUGCUGUCUUUUGAAAGUUUGUAAAAAUUUCAGCAAAUCUGUCAAAAUGACGUUUCGUCAUUCAUUAGUCCAUCUGUUAUCUCUGUUGUCAGCUGCGAAUACAUAUUGUCAUUAAUUCCUUUGUAAUACGAAUAAACAGUACCUUUAUACAAAUA